rnacentral:rRNA from 1 species
AUGGAGACGAGGCCGGCGCAGCUGUCGGCGAGUCCGACGGACAUGAAGAGGGCGGUGCGCGAGCGGAUGAGGCAGCAGCAGCCGGGCCUUCCCACAUGGAGACGAAGCCGGAGGAGCUCCCGCGGCGCUGACGGACGGGAGGGGGAGGGAGCCGUGGAGCAGAGGAGGCAGCAGCCGCGCCUUCCCCCAUGGGAACGAGGCCGGAGGAGCUCUUGGCGAUUGCUGUACCAAUUGUUGUGCGCGUACAAGAUGAACAAGCUUACCCGACAUCGCGAGACCAGGUAUGGGGUCGAGUUAGGCUGA